AGUGAACGCUGGCGGUAGGCCUAACACAUGCAAGUCGAACGGCAGCACAGUAAGAGCUUGCUCUUACGGGUGGCGAGUGGCGGACGGGUGAGGAAUACAUCGGAAUCUACUUUUUCGUGGGGGAUAACGUAGGGAAACUUACGCUAAUACCGCAUACGACCUACGGGUGAAAGCAGGGGAUCUUCGGACCUUGCGCGAUUGAAUGAGCCGAUGUCGGAUUAGCUAGUUGGCGGGGUAAAGGCCCACCAAGGCGACGAUCCGUAGCUGGUCUGAGAGGAUGAUCAGCCACACUGGAACUGAGACACGGUCCAGACUCCUACGGGAGGCAGCAGUGGGGAAUAUUGGACAAUGGGCGCAAGCCUGAUCCAGCCAUGCCGCGUGGGUGAAGAAGGCCUUCGGGUUGUAAAGCUCUUUUGUUGGGAAAGAAAAGCAGCAGGUGAAUACCCCGCUGUUCUGACGGUACCCAAAGAAUAAGCACCGGCUAACUUCGUG
rnacentral:rRNA from 1 species